GACGAACGCUGGCGGCGUGCUUAACACAUGCAAGUCGAGCGGAAAGGCCCUUUCGGGGGUACUCGAGCGGCGAACGGGUGAGUAACACGUGAGUAAUCUGCCCCUGGCUUUGGGAUAGCCACCGGAAACGGUGAUUAAUACCGGAUACGACCACUUCUCGCAUGGGAUGGUGGUGGAAAGUUUUUCGGCCAGGGAUGUGCUCGCGGCCUAUCAGCUUGAUGGUGAGGUAAUGGCUCACCAUGGCUUCGACGGGUAGCCGGCCUGAGAGGGUGACAGGUCACACUGGGACUGAGACACGGCCCAGACUCCUGCGGGAGGCAGCAGUGGGGAAUAUUGGACAAUGGGCGGAAGCCUGAUUCAGCAACGCCGCGUGAGGGAUGACGGCCUUCGGGUUGUAAACCUCUUUCAGCAGGGACGAAGCGCAAGUGACGGUACCUGCAGAAGAAGCACCGGCCAACUACGUGCCAGCCGCCGCCGUAA
rnacentral:rRNA from 1 species